rnacentral:rRNA from 1 species
CCUACGGGGGGCAGCAGUGAGGAAUAUUGGUCAAUGGGCGCGAGCCUGAACCAGCCAAGUAGCGUGAAGGAUGACUGCCCUACGGGUUGUAAACUUCUUUUAUAAAGGAAUAAAGUGAGGCACGUUUGCCUUUUUGUAUGUACUUUAUGAAUAAGGAUCGGCUACAUCCGUGCCAGCAGCCGCGGUAAUACGGAGGAUCCGAGCGUUAUCAGGAUUUAUUGGGUUUAAAGGAAGCGUAGAUGGGUUGUUAAAUCGGUUGUGAAAGUUUGCGGCGCAACCGUAAAAUUGCAAUUGAUACUGGCAGCCUUGAGGACAGUUGAGGUAGGCGGAAUUCGUGGUGUAGCGGUGAAAUGCUUAGAUAUCACGAAGAACUCCGAUUGCGAAGGCAGCCUACUAAACUGCCACUGACAUUGAUGCUCGAAAGUGUGGGUAUCAAACAGGAUUAGAUACCCGAGUAGUC